UCAUCCCCACCCACUGCCCCCACCUCCACGACACACCUCUCUCUCCCUCUCUCACCGUUGCCUCCAUCCAAAAACGAAGAUCGAGAUGGUUCUGAUUCAGACAACCACAAGCAGCGGCUAGGGUUCGGUAGCGUGCAACUGUGUUAGAUGUUGGUUACCGUGGUCCAUGGCGACGACGGGGAUGUUGACUGCGGGUUAGGGUUCAGGCACUUGGCGGCGACGUAGGGUGCUUAGAUGACGGAGAAGAGAGUUCAACAGUGAAUAGACGACAGUCGGAGUCAUAGCUGCGAUUCCUACCAGUUGGGGUUCCAGUCCACCGCCGGAGAAGACGUAAGACGACCCUGGUGCUAACGGCACCGGAGGAGGAAGAAUCGAAAUGCAAUAUAUGUUCUUAAUAUUGAUAUUCACCAAAUCAUCUUCUUCAACCAGCCGCCAAUCACUCUACUCCUCCAUCUCCGCUCCUGCUUCACGAUUAACCUCCGAUCGUUUCAAUUCGCCGCUCCACUCGAUCUCGUUUGUAUACGCUCAUUUCGCUUCAAUGGUAACCACAAGCACAAGCAAUGGACGUUUUCUACUGUCGAUCAUCAAUUCAUCAUCUCGUAGCUGUAUAUUUGACAUCUGAUGAAAUAAAUCAUUCUAUGCUUGAAACAAUGCAAUCGGGUGUGCGGAAGCUUGAUGUUAACAUAACGAAAUUGAGACAGUCACAAUGGGGUGUUUAAAGUACCUGUCUUUAGUUGGCUAAAUAGAUAAGGGAUUGUUUUAGUGGGAUGGAUAAUACGUGACAGACUGGAGUUGGGUUUGUAAAGCGAAUGGGCUAGUGCAACUUUAGUGGGCUCCGAUAUUAGAGUCUUGUUCAUGAACCAUUAAAUAUUAAUAGGUGAAUGCUACACCCUAAAUAAGUUAUCAAGUUUUUCUUCCUACAAUCACAAGUUUUUCUUCCUACAAUCACUGUGGUUCAAUUUGUUGAUGCUAUUCCUCUUCUUUGGUUUUGGGAUCAGAUUCUUCAACUCGGUUAUGGUGUAAGUCAGAUGUGUAAGGACUGGAAAACGGGGUGCGGGUCUCAACACUCUCAUCAGUCGCAAUAUUCCGACCUAUCAUGAAAUGAGACGGAACAUUCAAGUUAGAAGGUCAUGUGUUCCAGCAUUGGUUGUCUUGUCGAGUGUAGUUCUUGAGUAUUGAUCUUCUACUCCAUGUUGAGUAUGCUAGACAAAUAAAUUCAUAGCACUGGUAUUAUAUAGGUACAUCAAUAACUGCAAGUACCACUAUAUAACUUCUAGAGAAGUGGAGAUCAUGGGCACAAAAUGUGGAGCAAACCACCUGGUUACAAAACUGCAAUUAACUGCCAUGAACUGCCACUUCAGCGGUUUUUUUAGGGAGUUUAAAGGGCUGAGAUUUAAUCUCAGCAAGAUCCAAUAGUCAAUAUUGAUUUGGAGGGUGGUUAGACUUAAUGGGUUCCAUAUAUAUAUAUAUAUAAUUAGUCGGUCAUAUAGUUUAGUAGUUGUUUGCGUGGUUACACCAAGUGACAAAAAAACAUCAAAACAAGAUUGUAUUAUGGUGCAUAACUUUAUUGUCAUACUUUUUAUCC